rnacentral:rRNA from 1 species
UACGAAGGGGGCUAGCGUUGCUCGGAGUCACUGGGCGUAAAGGGUGCGUAGGCGGGUCUUUAAGUCAGGGGUGAAAUCCUGGAGCUCAACUCCAGAACUGCCUUUGAUACUGAAGAUCUUGAGUUCGGGAGAGGUGAGUGGAACUGCGAGUGUAGAGGUGAAAUUCGUAGAUAUUCGCAAGAACACCAGUGGCGAAGGCGGCUCACUGGCCCGAUACUGACGCUGAGGCACGAAAGCGUGGGGAGCAAACAGG